rnacentral:pre_miRNA from 1 species
AAUAAACCCUGAGUUUCCGUGUCCAACGUUUGACCGUCCGUCUUAUUUAAAAAAAUUAUAAAAAAAAUUAAAAAGACAAGUUACGUAUAAAGUAUUAAUCAUAUUUUAUCAUCUAACAACAAUGAAAAUACUAAUUAUAAAAAAAUUUCAUAUAAGACGGACAGUCAAAUAUUGAAUACGAAAACCCAGGGUUUAUUUUAUU